AAUAACGUUACCAGAGACUAUUUAGAAGGACUUUGACGUUACGCACUCCAGCAGCACAACUAGCGACCUAGCUACCACUAACCGACUCCCUGAAGAAUUUGACGACGGAUGAAUCUAGUAAUCACACGCUCAUUCCCCGCUUAAAGGUGGUGUUAGAAAAUUAGUUGUUAGUAGAAGCACGAACAGACACCUGGUAUGUUAGUAGAAGCACUAACAGACACUUCAUAUGCAAUAGUUAGUUUUUUGUUGAUGGAAACUUUCAAUAGUGCACAAAAGAGCAUAAACGCCUCAAACUGAGUUCCUACACUGCAAGUCCGCGCCCUCUGUGUAGCUUCUAGGGACGCUAGUUUUAAAUUCUGUGUGAGCAGACUGUCUGAGACACGGAGAUUGCUGUUAACAGAACGAGUCAACUGCCCGUGCCUGCCUACUUGUGUUGCCUCGGUUUUAAAACAAACGACCCUGCUGGAGGCAAGCUGCUUUUCAUGACAAAGAUGAAUAAAUUUCAGAUCAGUUUAUGCCUUUGCAUCUUGCUGUUUCAGUUUCAAGAAGUUAAGGAAGAUAACUGGAGAUGUGAUAACGAUACCAGAAGACUGAGAAGAAACUGCCCCUCAUUAGAAAGAUGAUGGAGACCACAUUUCCCCUACGCCGACAGACCAUAGUGAUGUCCUGCCCACCAGUGAACGACCUCAUGGACCUCUGGCCUGCUCUCAAAAUAGAGUCUGAGUUGUAUGCAGAGUUCCAGCGGAUUACAAAUCAGAACCUGCCCAACACGUGCUAUGCUGAGCUUGACCGCUAUCUUCCUCGACUGAUGACCUUAUUCAGACGGAAGGCA